rnacentral:rRNA from 1 species
GACGAACGCUGGCGGCGUGCCUAAUACAUGCAAGUCGAGCGGAUUAUGCCUUCGGGAAUAGUUAGCGGCGGACGGGUGAGUAACACGUAGGCAACCUGCCUGUAGGAUCGGGAUAACUACCGGAAACGGUAGCUAAGACCGAAUAGCUGUUUCUGGCGCAUGCCGGAAACAAGAAACGCGGAGCAAUCUGUGACCUAUAGAUGGGCCUGCGGCGCAUUAGCUAGUUGGUGGGGUAACGGCCUACCAAGGCGACGAUGCGUAGCCGACCUGAGAGGGUGAUCGGCCACACUGGGACUGAGACACGGCCCAGACUCCUACGGGUGGCAG